GACGAACGCUGGCGGCGUGCUUAACACAUGCAAGUCGUACGGUAAGGCCCUUUCGGGGGUACACGAGUGGCGAACGGGUGAGUAACACGUGAGUAACCUGCCCACAACUUUGGGAUAACGCUAGGAAACUGGUGCUAAUACUGGAUAUGUGCUCCUGCUGCAUGGUGGGGGUUGGAAAGCUCCGGCGGUUGUGGAUGGACUCGCGGCCUAUCAGCUUGUUGGUGGGGUAGUGGCCUACCAAGGCGGCGACGGGUAGCCGGCCUGAGAGGGUGACCGGCCACAUUGGGACUGAGAUACGGCCCAGACUCCUACGGGAGGCAGAAGUGGGGAAUAUUGCACAAUGGGCGCAAGCCUGAUGCAGCAACGCCGCGUGCGGGAUAACGGACUUCGGGUUGUAAACCGCUUUCAGCAGGGACGAAGCUUUUUGUGACGGUACCUGCAGAAGAAGCACCGGCUAACUACGUG
rnacentral:rRNA from 1 species